rnacentral:rRNA from 1 species
UACGUAGGGUGCAAGCGUUGUCCGGAAUUAUUGGGCGUAAAGAGCUUGUAGGCGGUUUGUCGCGUCUGCUGUGAAAUUUCGGGGCUCAACCCCGAACUUGCAGUGGGUACGGGCAGACUAGAGUGUGGUAGGGGAGACUGGAAUCCUGGUGUAGCGGUGAAAUGCGCAGAUACUCAGGAGGAACACCGGUGGCGAAGGCGGCUGCUGGGCCAGUUCUGACGCUGAGGAGCGAAAGCGUGGGGAGCGAACGG